UACAGAGGUCCCAAGCGUUGUUCGGAAUCACUGGGCUUAAAGGGCGCGUAGGCGGACUGCCGCGUCCGGGGUGAAAUCCCACGGCUCAACCGUGGAACGGCCCCGGAUACGGGCGGUCUGGAGGGGGGUAGGGGCACCUGGAACUGUGGGUGGAGCGGUGAAAUGCGUUGAUAUCCACAGGAACUCCGGUGGCGAAGGCGAGGUGCUGGACCCCACCUGACGCUGAGGCGCGAAAGCCAGGGGAGCGAACGGG
rnacentral:rRNA from 1 species